GACGAACGCUGGCGGCGUGCCUAACACAUGCAAGUCGAACGGAGAUUUCAGCAAUGAAAUCUUAGUGGCGAACGGGUGAGUAACGCGUAGACAACCUACCGCUUAGAUGGGGACAACACUGCGAAAGUGGUGCUAAUACCGAAUGUUGUAUCGAUGAUGCAUAUUGUUGAUACUAAAGAUGGCCUCUAUUUAUAAGCUAUCGCUAAGUGAUGGGUCUGCGUCUGAUUAGCUAGUUGGUGAGGUAAUGGCUCACCAAGGCGACGAUCAGUAGCCGGUCUGAGAGGAUGAACGGCCACACUGGGACUGAGACACGGCCCAGACUCCUACGGGAGGCAGCAGUGGGGAAUCUUCCGCAAUGGACGAAAGUCUGACGGAGCAACGCCGCGUGAGUGAAGAAGGUUUUCGGAUCGUAAAACUCUGUUUUCAGGGACGAAUGUGCAGUGUGUAAAUAAUGCAUUGUAAUGACGGUACCUGAGUAGAAAGCCACGGCUAACUACGUGCCAGCCGCCGCCGUAACAC
rnacentral:rRNA from 1 species